rnacentral:rRNA from 1 species
AACGAACGCUGGCGGCAUGCCUAACACAUGCAAGUCGAACGAGACCUUCGGGUCUAGUGGCGCACGGGUGCGUAACGCGUGGGAACCUGCCCUUAGGUUCGGAAUAACUCCCCGAAAGGGGUGCUAAUACCGGAUAAUGUCUUCGGACCAAAGAUUUAUCGCCUUUGGAUGGGCCCGCGUUGGAUUAGCUGGUUGGUAGGGUAAAAGCCUACCAAGGCGACGCUCCAUAGCUGGUCUGAGAGGAUGAUCAGCCUCACUGGGCCUGAGACACGGCCCAGACUCCUACGGGAGGCAGCAGUGGGGAAUAUUGGACUAUGGGCGAAAUCCUGAUCCAGCUAUGCCGCGUGAGUGAUUAAGGCCUUAGGGUUGUAAAGCUCUUUUACCCGCGAUGAUAAUGACAGUACCGGGAGAAUAAGCGCCGGCUAACUCCGUG